UACACUCCUGCGGGAGGCAGCAGUGGGGAAUAUUGGACAAUGGGCGCAAGCCUGAUCCAGCCAUGCCGCGUGAGUGAUGAAGGCCCUAGGGUUGUAAAGCUCUUUCACCGGUGAAGAUAAUGACGGUAACCGGAGAAGAAGCCCCGGCUAACUUCGUGCCAGCAGCCGCGGUAAUACGAAGGGGGCUAGCGUUGUUCGGAUUUACUGGGCGUAAAGCGCACGUAGGCGGACUAUUUAGUCAGGGGUGAAAUCCCGGGGCUCAACCCCGGAACUGCCUUUGAUACUGGUAGUCUUGAGUUCGAGAGAGGUGAGUGGAAUUCCGAGUGUAGAGGUGAAAUUCGUAGAUAUUCGGAGGAACACCAGUGGCGAAGGCGGCUCACUGGCUCGAUACUGACGCUGAGGUGCGAAAGCGUGGGGAGCAAACAGGAUUAGAAACCCUAGUAGUCC
rnacentral:rRNA from 1 species